GAAUGCAUUUGCCAAGGACGUUUUCAUUAAUCAAGAACGAAAGUUAGGGGAUCGAAGAUGAUCAGAUACCGUCGUAGUCUUAACCAUAAACUAUGCCGACUAGGGAUCGGGCGUUGUUCUUUUUAUGACUCGCUCGGCACCUUACGAGAAAUCAAAGUUUUUGGGUUCUGGGGGGAGUAUGGUCGCAAGGCUGAAACUUAAAGGAAUUGACGGAAGGGCACCACCAGGAGUGGAGCCUGCGGCUUAAUUUGACUCAACACGGGAAAUCUCACCAGGUCCAGACACAAUAAGGAUUGACAGAUUGAGAGCUCUUUCUUGAUUUUGUGGGUGGUGGUGCAUGGCCGUUCUUAGUUGGUGGAGUGAUUUGUCUGCUUAAUUGCGAUAACGAACGAGACCUUAACCUACUAAAUAGUGCUGUUAGCUUCGGCUGAACUGGCACUUCUUAGAGGGACUAUCGAUUUCAAGUCGAUGGAAGUUUGAGGCAAUAACAGGUCUGUGAUGCCCUUAGACGUUCUGGGCCGCACGCGCGCUACACUGACGGAGCCAGCAAGUACUAUCCUUGGCCGAAAGGUCCGGGUAAUCUCGAUGAAACUCCGUCGUGCUGGGGAUAGAGCAUUGAAAUUAUUGCUCUUCAACGAGGAAUUCCUAG
rnacentral:rRNA from 1 species